CUAUUGGCCGGUCAGUGGCGGACGGGUGAGUAACACGUGGGCGACCUGCCCUAAAGUGGGGGAUAACUAUCCGAAAGGAUGGCUAAUACCGCAUGUGGUCCGGCAUUCAUUUGUCGGACUAAAGGAGAAAUCCGCUUUGGGAGGGGCCCGCGGCCCAUCAGCUAGUUGGUAGGGUAAUGGCCUACCAAGGCGAGGACGGGUAGCUGGUCUGAGAGGACGAUCAGCCACAUUGGCACUGAGACACGGGCCAAACUCCUACGGGAGGCAGCAGUGAGGAAUAUUGCACAAUGGGCGAAAGCUUGAUGCAGCAACGCCGCGUGGGCGAUGAAGGUCUUCGGAUCGUAAAGCCCUUUUCCAGAGGAAGAGGAAGGACAGUACUCUGGGAAUAAGUGUCGGCUAACUACGUGCCAGCAGCCGCGGUAAAACGUAGGACACUAGCGUUAUCCGGAUUUAUUGGGCGUAAAGCGCGUGUAGGCGGUGCUUUAAGUUGGAUGUAAAAUCUCCUGGCCUAACUGGGAGGGGUCAUUCAAUACUGGAGCACUUGAGGGCAGAAGAGGGAAGUGGAAUUCCCGGUGUAGCGGUGGAAUGCGUAGAUAUCGGGAGGAACACCUGUGGCGGAAGCGGCUUCCUGGGCUGCCCCUGACGCUGAUACGCGAAAGCUAGGGGAGCGAACGGGAUUAGAUACCCCGGUAGUCCUAGCUGUAAACGAUGGAUACUAGGUGUUGGUGGUAUUAACCCCAUCAGUGCCGAAGCUAACGCGUUAAGUAUCCCGCCUGGGGAGUACGGCCGCAAGGCUAAAACUCAAAGGAAUUGACGG
rnacentral:rRNA from 1 species